CACGUGUUACAAUGGCAGGUACAGCGGGAAGCCAUAUGGCGACAUAGAGCGGAACCCGAAAACCUGUCCCAGUUCGGACUGGAGUCUGCAACCCGACUCCACGAAGUUGGAUUCGCUAGUAAUCGCGCAUCAGCCAUGGCGCGGUGAAUACGUUCCCGGGCCUUGUACACACCGCCCGUCAAGCCAUGGGAGCCGGGGGCGCCUGAAGUCCGGGACCGCGAGGACCGGCCUAGGGCGAAACUGGUAACUGGGGCUAAGUCGUAACAAGGUAGC
rnacentral:rRNA from 1 species